rnacentral:lncRNA from 1 species
GGCGGGUAUAGUGGUUCCGCAACCUUGGGAUGUUCGGCUGAGCGCCUGCCUAACAUGGGAGCGCCUGCCUAACCCUCCUGACUGGAGGGUCAGCGGCGGGGAGUCCUGGCCUUCAAUCGGCCAUCGCCACGGCAGAAACUGGGGCCCGGGCUGCGUCCAGGCCCUUCCCCGUCCGUCCACAGGUCUCAUGGGCGCCCGGACUGGGGCUGAUGUAGUUUCCCGACCUCUGACACAUAGGAUCUGGAGAUUAAAGCUGCUCUGCUAAUAAUUAGGUUCCCACCUCUCAAGAUCAUUAGGAGCUUCUUUUCCAAUUCCUCUGUUUUGCAUGCAUUGGAAGGAUCUGGAGCUCAGGACCCACUACCUCCCCGGCCCACUGCAAGCUUGAACAUUUGAUGGUGGACACCCCUCCCUGACUUUGUAUUAUGUGUCACUGGUGUGGGGGUUACCUUCCCA